GCCGGAAUUGCUAGUAAUGGCAGGUCAGCAUACUGCCGUGAAUACGUUCCCGGGCCUUGUACACACCGCCCGUCACACCAUGAGAGUUGGGGAUACCCGAAGCCUGUGAGCCAACAGUUAAAUGGGGCAGCAGUCGAAGGUAGAAUCAAUGAUUGGGGUGAAGUCGUAACAAGGUAAC
rnacentral:rRNA from 1 species